ACCUGGCUGGCUCAGUUGGUGGAGUGUGCGACUUUUGAUCUCAGAGUCAUGAGUUCAAGCCCCAUGUUGGGUG
rnacentral:tRNA from 1 species